rnacentral:rRNA from 1 species
UAGGGAAUCUUCCACAAUGGACGAAAGUACUGAUGGAGCAACGCCGCGUGAGUGAAGAAGGUUUCGGCUCGUAAAACUCUGUUGUUAAAGAAGAACAUAUCUGAGAGUAACUGUUCAGGUAUUGACGGUAUUUAACCAGAAAGCCACGGCUAACUACGUGCCAG